rnacentral:rRNA from 1 species
CCUACGGGAGGCAGCAGUGGGGGAUAUUGCACAAUGGGGGGAACCCUGAUGCAGCGACGCCGCGUGGGUGAAGGAGUGCUUCGGCAUGUAAAGCCCUAUCGGCAGGGAAGAAGCAAGACGGUACCUGACUAAGAAGCCCCGGCUAACUACGUGCCAGCAGCCGCGGUAAUACGUAGGGGGCGAGCGUUAUCCGGAUUCACUGGGUGUAAAGGGAGUGUAGACGGCGAUGCAAGCCAGGGGUGAAAGCCCGGGGCCCAACCCCGGGACUGCCGUUGGAACUGGGCGGCUAGAGUGCGGGAGGAGCAGGCGGAAUGCGUGGUGUAGCGGUGAAAUGCGUAGAUAUCAGGAGGAACACCGACGGCGAAGGCGGCCUGCUGGACCGCGACUGACGUUGAGGCUCGAAAGCGUGGGGAGCGAACAGGAUUAGAUACCCUGGUAGUC